AGACCAUGCGCUAAAGCCUACGUGAGGGUCGGCAACUAGAUCAUGGUCAACUAACGUACGCGCCCACAUAUUAUUCUUAUUAUGUCAGCGAUUUACUGGACCUAAGGAGAACAAUGUAAUGUUAUAAAGUAGAAAUGGACUCUAUUUGUAUUAUAGAUAUGAUAUUAAAUAUUUUCCUGUUAAUUGUAGUACUAAUAAAAAUUAUUAUAGAUACAACAUACAUGAUAACACACCCAUCUAGAUUCGUAUCUUCAAAUUCUUUUUCCAAACUUCCUGCUCAAUAAUAUAAAGUUUGUGUGUUCAA